rnacentral:tRNA from 2 species
GGGGGUUUGCCCGAGUGGUUAAAGGGGGCGGACUGUAAAUCCGUUGGCUACGCCUACACAGGUUCAAAUCCUGUAGCCCCCA